UACGUAGGGUGCAAGCGUUGUCCGGAAUUAUUGGGCGUAAAGAGCUCGUAGGCGGUCUGUCGCGUCGGCUGUGAAAACUCAGGGCUCAACCCUGAGCGUGCUUCCGAUACGGGCAGACUAGAGGUAUGCAGGGGAGAACGGAAUUCCUGGUGUAGCGGUGAAAUGCGCAGAUAUCAGGAGGAACACCGGUGGCGAAGGCGGAUCUCUGGGCCAGUAUUGACGCUGGGGAGCGAAAGCGUGGGUAGCAAACGAGG
rnacentral:rRNA from 1 species